UGCACAGUCUGGCAACGCUAAUAGCGUUGCGUCUUCAAUUCAGUUUUUUAUUAGAGCUGGCUUUGGUAUUCGUAGACCAUAGACUGCAAUGAAGUGAUAUAGAAGCUGUAUACUUAAUGAGAUAAGCUAUUGAAAUUCUGUUGACUCCAGCUCAACUUUUGUAUACAAUAAAAACCUAUUGAAAGUUUUGCUAAUUGGGCACAAGUGGCAUUGAUAGCAAAUAAUUCGAAUGUCUGGCAACACUGGCAACACUACAGCAACAACUACAGAAAAACUUCGUAGUAUAAUCAUAUUUGUAGUAGUUAAGGUAUUUCUUUCGCCCCUUUCGCCGAAAAAGGAUUUGAAAGCUUGUGGAUCAGUUAAAGUCAGGGAUAUUCUAGUCUAUUAAAGCUUAUUAUGUUAAAGAGUUUAGUAUAUCUACAUACACACAUAUGUAUGUAUGUUUGUAUAUGAAUUUCCUUGCCUUAUUGACUUUUCAAUUUCGAAUGGCAGACAGCAUGAAUGAGAAUAUAUUUUCAGCAUCAAAGAGCAACUAUUUGGACACAAUGCCAAGUUUUCGCUGCAGCAUCAACGCCCAUGUGGAAUACUUGACGAGCAGCUCACACUUCCAGCCGGAUACUGACAGGCAGGCAGACAGGCAGGCAGAACUGAUCCCUGGACCCAGACUCUUACGCGGACGCGGAUGCGGACACGGACAGGGACACGGAUACGGGCCUGGACUCAUGUGCAGUGGCACUUUACGGCAUUGUCGCUGGCCUCUGUCUGUCUGUCUGUUGCUGUUGGCCUUCAGACGCUCAUAAACAAACGCGAGAGUGCCGAGUGCCAGGCGGGAUGAGCUGGGGGAGCUGGUCUAAUGUGCUGGGCGUGGCAGUGCAUUUAUUCGUGUGUAAAAUUUUAAUUGAAAUAUAUAUAUUUAAGCCGGUCUGUGCCAGACAGAGUGCCAGUCCUGCGCUUCUGCAACUGUAACUGUAUAGCGCAGCAGUUGCAACUAUA